rnacentral:rRNA from 1 species
CACGUAGGGGGCAAGCGUUGUCCGGAAUCAUUGGGCGUAAAGCGCGUGUAGGCGGUCCGGUAAGUCCGCUGUGAAAGUCGGGGGCUCAACCCUCGGAUGCCGGUGGAUACUGUCGGGCUUGAGUACGGAAGAGGCGAGUGGAAUUCCUGGUGUAGCGGUGAAAUGCGCAGAUAUCAGGAGGAACACCAAUUGCGAAGGCAGCUCGCUGGGACGUUACUGACGCUGAGACGCGAAAGCGUGGGGAGCAAACAGG